UUUGGCAGGUACGGUGG
rnacentral:misc_RNA from 1 species